UCGGGAUUCGUCCGUAUGGAAUGUGGCCUCCCAGUGACCGGGCAUACACAAAGGCUCCAACACACCAUUCAGAGAACCUCUGCUUGGCGCAAGAUGUCAGUGAAGUGGUGUGCAGUGGUUGUUCGUAGAGUGGCAGUGCCUCUCCUCCAGUCCUCGCGGGCCAUCCAUGCCAGAGGCAAAUCAACUGCUGCUCCUGCAGCACUGCGGACAGAUCUGACAGGUACACCACCUGUCAUUACUUCUGUGUUACCUGCACAGCAUCUCACCACCAAGGUUAUCUUCGACACCCACACCACAGCUGACUUCAAGUACAUCUGGCUGCGAGACAACUGUCAGUGUCCCAAAUGUGUGGAUCCCAGCACGAAACAGAAACUAGUGGACUCUCCAAGCCUUGACUUGAACAUCAAGCCCCUCUCCCUCACCAUGAAUGAUGCAGGCAAACUCGAGAUUAUUUGGUCUGAGGAGGAUGAGGCCCAUAAGUCAGAAUAUGACCCAGUAUGGCUGUAUAAGUAUGGGCAGUCGUUCAUGCACAAUAACUUUGCUAGUGACAGUUUAGACAUGGAACUUUUGACUCAGAGACCAGAAUUUGAGUUAUGGGAUCGAACAACUAUCUGGUCCAGCUUUCCUGAGAUGUCUUAUAAUGAGAUAAUGGAGAGUGAUAAUGGUCUUGCACAGUGGUUGGAAAUGUUCUAUAAGUAUGGUGUUGCUGUUCUCCGUGGAGUGCCACCUAAGGUGAACAAAAUUGUAGAUGUUGUGAAACGAUUUGCCUAUGUGAAGGAGACCCAGUAUGGUCACACUUUUGAUGUAAUCAACAAGCCAGUGAAGGGUUCCCAUCUGGCAUAUACUGGAGUUGCCCUGGCACAUCACACUGACAUGAACUACAGGGAGAAGAGUCCUGGCAUGCAGCUGCUCCACUGUCUCAAGGCCAACGACCCCAAGCUUUCUGGCUCUGACCCAGGGGGACGCUCAUUCUUUUCUGAUGGCUAUCGCAUUGCUAGAUGGUUGGAAGAAAAUGAACCUGCAGCAUUCCAUGUCCUUACUUCCACACCUGUCAGAUUUUCCAUCAAGAAUGAAGGUCGGCAAUAUUCAGCUUUGUGGCCAAUCUUGUGCACAAAUAGUGAAGGGGAUGUGACGGAGGUGCAUUACAACAACCGCACUAUGAAACCUCUUCAGGCGCCCACCCAUGUCGUCACGCCAUUCUACCAUGCAUAUAAGUUGUUCUCAGAUAAACUUCGUGACCCAGCUACAUGUCUGGAGUUCAACAUGGUACCUGGUGAUCUGGUAGCCUUCAACAAUCGACGUGUUCUUCAUGGUCGCACUGCCUUUGAUGUUACCAAGGUUGACAGACAUCUGCAGGGUUGCUAUGUUGACAUAGAUGAGGCUUUCUCCAAAUAUGAUAGCUUAAGAGCCAAAAAGUGAAGUGCGUAGUGCCCAGUCAUGACGCUACUCCCCAAGGCCUCGCCAGUGGCAAGAUAUCACCCAUUUUAUCAUCUCAUAUUAAUUUUACAUGGUACAUUAACCAUCAAAAUACUAUGAGAAGAUUCAGCUAUACAGUGUGAUGUGAUGAAGGACGAGGACCAUAACCUGAGGCAUAACCACAAAGUCAUGUUGGGUUUCAGUGGCACUCGGUAGAUUCAGUCUUGAAGGGGUCUUGCUGCAGGUAAAUGUCAUAGUCUUAAAAAAAAAUAUUAAGUAACCAAGUUUGGUGAAAAAUGCGAUAAGCACUUUUUAUUUCAUUGCACGUAUGUUACUCAAGAAUGAGACGGCCAUUUCCUCAAUGAAGAUUCCCAAAUGUUGCACAAGUGUCUCAUUUUUGAAGUUGAUGGUUUUCUAAAGCAUUUCCAUCACAUAAGUGUUACUGUCUGUAAUUACUCAUAAUCUUGAACACAAUUCGGCCUACAAAAUUUUUAGAUGGCAAAAAUGAUUUUUGUCAUGAAAUAAAUUUUUUAAUUUAUUUAAUUUUAGAAUAAUAUACAAGGUAUAUCAGUAUUUCAGAAAGAUACUGUUAAAGUAUUAUGUAAUUUUUAUUUUCUCUGUGCUUUUAUUACAUGAAUUUUUACAUAUACCUGCCACAUGAUACAUUUUCUUAACAUGCUGAAAAAUUCAUCCUGUGAUAUAAAAAUAAAAACUAUUUUCUAAAAUGUUCUCAAGAAUUAGAUAAUAAAGUUCUCUCAUUUACAAUAAUAAUGUCUGGGAAAGAUUAAUAUGAAUUAUAUAUUCCAUUUAUAUCGAUUCAUUCUUGUGAGAAAUUAUAGCCAUAUGCUAACUAAUUUAUGUUUGUUUCUAAAAUCUACAGUAGCCCACUGUAUGUUGUGCUUUUUUUUCUUCUUUAGGCAGAGUUGCAUAAACAAAUGAAACUGCCCUUAAAGUAAUCUUUUCAAAAUUUAGAGAUUGAAUGCAAUCAAAACAUAAUUCAAGCUAAUUUUUGUGUUAUUUAACAUUAUUGAAACUCGUUACAUUUACAUUUUUUCAACAAUAAAAUUGCGCACUGCUUGUUUGGCAAAAUGAUAGUUACUUUAUAAGCUAAGAUUGCUUGCUCUGUCUUAAAAGCACAACUUAUUUAUCAUAGUUAAUGUAUUAUGCUGUAGUCAUUUUAUCUCUCAUAUUUUGUUCUGUUGAAUAAUGUCAUAAUAAUCAUGAUGAAGUUUCUACCACUAAUUUGUAUACUUUGUUUAAGGUUGAAUUUAGAUAGAUAAAAAUAUCCCAUAGUGUAUCAGUUCAUUACAGCAACAUCACUAAAUUAUUAUUGCUAUUAUAUUUAAGUGUGCUUUCUGUACUUAGUUGUGGGCAUAUGUAUAUAACGGCAUUGUAAUACAAGUAAAAAGUACACUGCACUCACUUCCAAACUUUGUACAAUACAGUAGUCUCUCAAAUAACAUGUGGGUUACAGUCCUGAAAAUUGGCACAUUUUUCAAAUUGGCAUUAACCAAAGUGAAGAACAUAUGGUAAAAAUAGGAUUACAUUCCUUGAAAUACAAAAAAACAGUAUGCAUACAUGAAUUCAGUUGUUUUAUCUCCUGUUGGUGAAUUACUACUGUCAGAGGGUGUGUUAUCCUACGAUCUACUGUAAUUGAAUAGAUUAAAAGGUAAUUUAUACCAAAAUGUCUAAUGCAAAAUCUCAUUUUUUUAUACUGUAUUACAGAUAAUUUUAAUAUAUUUUAACCUAGCGUGAUGCAGACAUUACAGUAGAUGCCUAACUUAUGAUCAUCUGACCUACAGUCAUUAGCACUGAUGAUCAUGGCCCUUUAAUCAAUUAAUUACUUAUGAAGGUUGAUUUAAAGAUACAAGCAUUGUAUUUAGAAAAGAAAUUACUGUAUUUCCUUGAAUAGUGCAGGGAUUAGGGGCACAGACCCCCCCCGUGCAGUCGAAAAUCUGCACAUAACUUUUGGGGAGUCAGAAGUUAACUACUAAUAGCCUACUGCUGGCUGGAAGCCUUACCAAUAAUAUAAACUGCCGGUUAACACACAUUUUGUAUAUGUAUUGCAUACCGUAUUCUUACAAUAAAGUAAACUAGAGAAAAGAAUGUUAUUAAUAAAGUCAUAAGGAAGAGAAAAUUCAUUUACAGUACUGUACUGUAUUAAUCAGUACCUUAAGUUUAUUGUCUGUUUACAAGACGAAUCAUCUGACAGUACCUAUAUCAACAUUGUCUUGUACAACACUAGACAUCAAAAAUGAAAAACAAUGUAAAUAAGAAAUUCAUAUUUAUUUAUAUUUUAGUAUUGCACCUUUAUGUUUAUUUACAUUUCUCUUGACUGUGAGUGGAACACUACGAUCUGUAAUAACAGUAUAUUAUAUUGCUUUUUUAAGUUUGUUUACAUUUCUCUCGAUUGCAAACGGAGCCUGUAUGAUCUGUAAUUGUGUGCGUAAGUUUUGAUAAAUUUUAAUUAUGUAAUAGAUUUGUGUAUAUUUUAUGUAGCAAAUGACUAAAAUAGACUAGUAUCUACAUUACUAUGUAGAUACUGUAAAAUAUAACUUUUAAUUUUUCAGUUGCAAAUCUCCAAAAAAUUUUGUUCAAGGGUCAACUUUAUUUAACCCUUAAACUGUCCAAAUGUAGAUCUAUGUUUACGUGUGUAGCUCUCAGACAUUUAUUUUCUCUAUUUGAAAGCACGUAAAAAAAAAAGUAUAUCUACAUUCGGAGUGGUACACACAUGAACGUAGAUCUACAUCUGGACAGUUUAAAGGUUAAAAAAAAAAAAAAACUUAUCAAAGGAAUUCAUACUAUGUAUAUGUUCAUUUUAGACAUGGAGAGUUCAUGUUUGUUUGAUAAGAUUAGUCAAGAAGUGUAGGUAAAAAAAAAAUUAAGACUGUUCAGGCUGAAUUAUAACUAUUAGCUAUAAUGGACUAGUAGGGGACUGUCCAAGUGUCCAUUAAAGUACUAAGUUACUCUAUUGUUCACUUUAUAUAUAGUACUGUACACACAAUUUACAUAUAUACUGCAAUAAACAUUGAAAAUGAGAGUUAAAAGCACACUUAAAUCAGUGGGUUUUGACCAUAAUUUUAAAAGUCUAUUUUAUCAGGAUCUGUUACAUCUAGGGUAUACUACAUAUACUUUUUCUUGGCUUUUACCAAAUGCGCUGAUAGUUUAUGUUCAUUUUAUGCAUGUGUGGACAGCUAAUGUUUGGUAGAGAUUGGUGAAGACCUAUAGAUUUGAAAAUUACUGUACAGUUUUAUUAAGGGUGAAUUAUAUUAAGUUUCUCAGUUUUUAUUAAAUGCAUUGAUAUUUUGUAUAUUUGCUUUAUGCAUGAGAGGAGAGCUUGUGUUUGGUAGAGAUUUAAAGUUAUAUAUGUUGAGGGGUGGCAAGCAAUUUUGCCUGUUUUCAGGGCUGAGGCUCAGAUUAACUUACUCCACCAAAUUCUCUUCCUACUAUUAAACCUGGGCACACAUUAGCCUUAACCAUUACCUACCCACAGGCACUAAAUGCUGUACAGUAUUU